UCCUAAGAUGAGCUCAACGAGAACGGAAAUCUCGUGUGGAACAAAAGGGUAAAAGCUCAUUUGAUUCUGAUUUCCAGUACGAAUACCAACCAUGAAAGGUGGCCUAAU
rnacentral:rRNA from 1 species